UAGGGAAUAUUGCACAAUGGGCGAAAGCCUGAUGCAGCAACGCCGCGUGCGCGAUGAAGGCCUUCGGGUCGUAAAGCGCUUUUCGGGGAGAUGAGGAAGGACAGUAUCCCCGGAAUAAGGCUCGGCUAACUACGUGCCAGCAGCCGCGGUAAAACGUAGGAGCCUAGCGUUAUCCGAAUUUACUGGGCGUAAAGCGCGUGCAGGCGGUUCGGUAAGUUGGGUGUGAAAUCUCCUGGCUCAACUGGGAGAGGUCGCUCAAUACUGUCGGACUCGAGGAUGGUAGAGGGAGGUGGAAUUCCCGGUGUAGUGGUGAAAUGCGUAGAUAUCGGGAGGAACACCAGUGGCGAAGGCGGCCUCCUGGACCAUUCCUGACGCUCAGACGCGAAAGCUAGGGGAGCAAACGGGAUUAGAAACCCCGGUAGUCCUAGCAGUAAACGAUGUGGACUUGGCGUUGGUGGGGUAAAAUCCAUCAGUGCCGGAGCUAACGCGGUAAGUCCACCGCCUGGGGACUACGGCCG
rnacentral:rRNA from 1 species